rnacentral:lncRNA from 1 species
GCGGUGUUGGCGUUCCGCGGCCGCGGGGAGGUGCGUCGGAGGACCGUUGCGCCGGGGAGGGGCUGCCGGCUGGGUGCCAGCUUUGGGCUGUGAACUCGGUGUGCGCGACUUCUCCCGAAAUUUUCCUGGCCCCGUGUCUUGCCCAACAACAAUAGCUCGUGGCUCAGUCCUUAAACCAAACCUCCGCGGAAGUUCGCACACCUCACCAAGGGGUCAGAAGCCAGUGAACGUGUGCAACUUUUGCUAGCUCUUAAUUAGAGCUCAGCUUUAUCACCCCUUCAUCCUUACUGGGGAGAGCACGCCAGGCUGACGGCUCACAGUGGUCCAUUAAACCCUCUGUAGACCUUGGGAGUUUGUGUAAGAAUCAAUCCCUCACAGUGGAGGAUGACUGUCUUCCAUGAUUGUCUAUCUUAUCUGUGGGUGUGAAGAUGGCUGAUAAGGCCAAUCCAGGAUCAACAGACUCUGUUGCAACAUGGACACAUGUUUCAGUGCAGGGUAGGUGGCUCCAGAUUCUCGAUUCAGUCCAUGACAAGCGACCAGACACAGCAAGACCAUAUAGCAAGACUUUGCAGAGAUCUGUUAUCUCAUCAAUUGCCAUAGCUACAGAAUUCAGCACAGGCAAUGACUUGGAAAUGAAAAUAAGGGAUGACUAAAGGCAUAGCCCUACAGGAAUACACGCCCAGAAGGAUGCCUCAUCAUAUUGGUCUUGACACAUGGAUAGCAGGUGAAAACAAAGGUCCAGAGAGUUUGGAGCCCUCAGCAUCCUGGGAAGCCCCUGCCAGCCAUACUUGUCCAGCAGUGCCUGCCGCGGCUACUGCUCUGGCAUUCCUUGACCAGUGUCUCCUCACCAGCACUGGUAAGUAUACUAUUCCUCCUCUUGACCCCUCUUCUGGGAUCUGUACUCCAGUCCCGUGGCUGGACUCCUCCCCUCCCAGAGUCUCAGCAUCCCUCUUUUAAAUUUCACAUGCCCAAAUUUCACAAUACCAUUUAAAAGAAAAAUUAAAAAAAUACACUGUCCCUAAUUCCCACUAAUCCAUGUUUUCAAAGCUACUUUUCUUUGUAAUGCUAAUAGUUCAGGGUCUUCCAGCAUAUAAGAGAGUGACCAAAGCAGACCUUUAACAAUAACAUUUACUUUAAAAUGUAUUAGCAACCAUGGGACUCUUAGAGAGGUUGGCUACCUAAUGUUGAU